CCUCAUGCAAUAGUGGUGCCACUACAACAGAAUUAGGUUAUAGGGACACAUGUUUGGGACACUUUUGAGUAAGUGUCCUAUUUAUACUAAAACUUAAAAACACAUCUACUAAUGCCUAAAUAUAAAGCCCAAUCCAACUAAAAAUAAAAGAUUACUCUACUCAACCCACCACACCCAGUCCAUUUGGCCCGAUUACAAACAGAAAAGAAAAAAAAAAAGAAAAAUCAAUUACCAUCUUUUCUUCUCUCUUCACUCAAUCUACUGAAAUUCUAGACGAAGAGCCUUUACUGUCGUCCUUCUCCGCCACCGCAGCCAACGAGAUAGAGUUUCGGCGGUUGCUAAAUGCUCAAAUAAGUGUUGGUAAAUUAGCAACACUCUUUUAGGUUAUAGUGACACUCUUUAACUGUCACUAUAUACCUAGCGACCCCACAUAUAGCAACACUUUUUAAAAGUGUCGGUAAUUUUAGCUAGCAGCACUUUUUUGACAUGUACCUACAUUUAAAAGUGUCGCUAUAGACCGUUUUUGUUGUAGUGUGCUUCUCUGACUUGUCCCUAAUUGAAGAACAUUUUGAUUUCUUUUUAUUGCAGUGGAAUUA
rnacentral:lncRNA from 1 species